GAAAGCGAGGAGGUGAGGAAGGAGAAUGGUUUCCUCUGUGCGUGGAUCACAGCAUCACUUGACAAAGGGUCCAAGUUGGGGCUACGUAACCCCGAGCGACCUCCUGAAUGUCUUCUUCUCCUUCCUGUUCCUUUCUCCCGUGCGUCCAAAGACUUGCUUCUCCGCAUCUGCUUGGAGCGGCGCCCCCUCUGCCUGGUAGAGUUUACUGCAGCCAUACCCUGCUCCCGGGGGUGACGCAGGUGGGAGGGGGAGGUAAUUCUGUGUUUACGGCCUGGGGAAUGAAUAAAGGGCAAAACAUUUUAAGUAAGAAAGUAUCACAGUGUAACAGACUCAUAUUUGAAAAAUGUGCAAUUUGAUGUGAAAGUGUGCAAUUAGUGUUUUAAUGCUUUGUCAUUGAGAUGCUUCGCUCAGCUUCUUUUAAUGUAUUCAUGUAUGCAACUCUACAUAAUCCAUACCUGAGCACACCCCUUACAAUGCAACAACAUGUUUGUUACAGUACAUGUUCUCAAGGGAAGACAGUAUAUAAAUUAGAGUAGUCAGUGUACAGCUCGUAUAGCAGUAUAGAUUCACUAUCUACUGAAAAUAACCCAACAAAGCCAUUAACAUUUAAAUAGUUAAAUAGUGAUUGUGUCACGGUCAGGGCGCAUUCCAGUGCGCAUUCAUCUGUGUGCUGCGCUGAGCGCACCUCCAAGCGCACACCUGCGCGCGCCACUCCGGCUGCAGCAGGCGGCUGCAUUCAUUCUGCAGUCAAUCAGCACUCUACACACCUGUCACUGAUGAGCUCCCUGGGCUUCUUAAGCCAGUGCAAACCUGUGUUCCGGGCCAGAACGUAGUUUCCUGUUCCGUACAGUAAGCCAAUUUGUGUCAAGCUCUAUGCUCUCGCUCUCUCUGUUUUCUCCUCCUCCGUGUUUCAUUUGUCUCGUGUUCCAGUUUCGUUCCAGCAGCAUUCCUCUGUUCCCUGACGACGAGCUGUGUGUCUCGUCUCCCCGUAUUCCCUCUGGUUCCCCUGGCUGCCUCUUUGCAUCUCGACCUCCAGCCUGGACACGGACUUUGACUCCUCCCUCUUGCCCCAGACCUCCUGCCUGUCUCUGGAUCUCCAAGCUUGCCUUUCCCCCUUGGACUUCCGCCUCUUGCUCAACACUCCUGGUUGCCUACAGUCAAGCAUGGUGGUGGUAGUAUCAUGGGUGUUGGGAACCCGCAUGGCUGCGGUAUUUGUGACCCCAAGAUGCAGGAACCAGGAGAACAACGA